rnacentral:lncRNA from 1 species
UCUCUCUCUUUUUUUUCUCUUUUCUUUUUUUCAUUUUUCAUUUUGAUUGAUUUUUUUUCAUUGCGUUUCUUUUGAAAAAUAAAUAUGCUAUGAUGCAAAUGAUGCAGACUGAACUGGCUGGUUGUGCAAACUCUGAUACUAGGUCGAAGCUUCAGUCAAAAUCGGAACAUAAAUCCCACUUAAGGUUAACUGAACACUGUCUGAACACAAAGUCACCAUCAGAACCAAGUCACCAACAGAACCGAGUCACCAACGGUACCUGUAAUGAAAUAACCCUUCCCCACUCACGGGUGUAGUCUAGGCCAGGGUAAAGCUGAGAGAAACGCAGCAUAAAUAACCUUUCGCAGAAAUACUAUCAUAUACACACCCGAAGUAUGUAACGACAGUAUCCCACCAGGGUCUGAACUGCUCGUGAUAUCAAUGUUCCGCUAAGUGGCGCCAUACCACCCGCU